GGGCGUGCCUAAUACAUGCAAGUCGAGCGGACAGAUGGGAGCUUGCUCCCUGAUGUUAGCGGCGGACGGGUGAGUAACACGUGGGUAACCUGCCUGUAAGACUGGGAUAACUCCGGGAAACCGGGGCUAAUACCGGAUGCUUGUUUGAACCGCAUGGUUCAAACAUAAAAGGUGGCUUCGGCUACCACUUACAGAUGGACCCGCGGCGCAUUAGCUAGUUGGUGAGGUAAUGGCUCACCAAGGCAACGAUGCGUAGCCGACCUGAGAGGGUGAUCGGCCACACUGGGACUGAGACACGGCCCAGACUCCUACGGGAGGCAGCAGUAGGGAAUCUUCCGCAAUGGACGAAAGUCUGACGGAGCAACGCCGCGUGAGUGAUGAAGGUUUUCGGAUCGUAAAGCUCUGUUGUUAGGGAAGAACAAGUACCGUUCGAAUAGGGCGGUACCUUGACGGUACCUAACCAGAAAGCCACGGCUAACUACGUGCCAGCAGCCGCGGUAAUACGUAGGUGGCAAGCGUUGUCCGGAAUUAUUGGGCGUAAAGGGCUCGCAGGCGGUUCCUUAAGUCUGAUGUGAAAGCCCCCGGCUCAACCGGGGAGGGUCAUUGGAAACUGGGGAACUUGAGUGCAGAAGAGGAGAGUGGAAUUCCACGUGUGGCGAUGAAAUGCGUAGAGAUGUGGAGGAACACCAGUGGCGAAGGCGACUCUCUGGUCUGUAACUGACGCUGAGGAGCGAAAGCGUGGGGAGCGAACAGGAUUAGAUACCCUGGUAGUCCA
rnacentral:rRNA from 1 species